AAAGAUUGAUGCAGCCAAGGAUGACUUGCCGACGACUCGUUUUUGCUUUCAUCAAUAUACGCAUAAUUAAGAAGAGAUGAAUCCGUUGGCAGGUUGUUCUUGGCUACAUUUUUCUUUCU
rnacentral:pre_miRNA from 13 species